rnacentral:rRNA from 1 species
UACGGGGGGGGCAAGCGUUGUUCGGAAUUACUGGGCGUAAAGGGCUCGUAGGCGGCCAACUAAGUCGGACGUGAAAUCCCCGGGCUCAACCCGGGAACUGCGUCCGAUACUGGCAGGCUUGAAUCCGGGAGAGGGAUGCGGAAUUCCAGGUGUAGCGGUGAAAUGCGUAGAUAUCUGGAGGAACACCGGUGGCGAAGGCGGCAUCCUGGACCGGUAUUGACGCUGAGGCGCGAAAGCCAGGGGAGCAAACGGG